UGGAGAGAUGCGAGAGCGGUUGAAUCGGACGGUCUCGAAAACCGUUGAACUCGCAAGGGUUCCGAGGGUUCGAAUCCCUCUCUCUCCGG
rnacentral:tRNA from 1 species